rnacentral:lncRNA from 1 species
CUGCGCCCUCUGCAGCCUGCACAGCAUCGGCAAGAUCGGUGGCGCCCAGAACCGCAACUACAACAAGCUGCUGUGCGGCCUGCUGUCCGAUCGCCUGCACAUCAGCCCGGACCGGGUCUACAUCAACUAUUACGACAUGAACUCAGCCAACGUAGACUGGAACGGUUCCACCUUCGCUUGAGCCCGGGCCUCACUUACCUGCACCGCUGUUCUUCGAGCCUUGCUGCACGCAGCGUUCUGUGUUUAUCCACCCGUAAUGAUGGCCACAUUCCGGUCGGGAGAAAUAAAUGGUUUGAGACCAAAAAAA